rnacentral:tRNA from 1 species
GGGGCACGACUGGAAAUCGUGUAUCCCGCUAAUAACGGGAUCGAGGGUUCGAAUCCCUCUCUCUCCGCCA